rnacentral:lncRNA from 1 species
GAUGAUAAGAUCUUUUUUCUAUUUGAUAUGAGAUAGAAGGAAAAACGAACUGGCAAAAAAAAAGACACUUAGAGAAUGAGAUUGGAUUUCUAUUCCUAUUUUAUGAAAGUUCUCAAGACUGGAAUUAUCUCAUAUCAGCUGCAAUAAGAGAGAUUAUAGAUAUGUGGCAUAUCAGCUGUUAUAGAGAUAGACAUUCCCGACAACU